rnacentral:rRNA from 1 species
GAUGAACGCUGGCGGCGUGCCUAAUACAUGCAAGUCGAGCGAACGGACGAGAAGCUUGCUUCUCUGAUGUUAGCGGCGGACGGGUGAGUAACACGUGGAUAACCUACCUAUAAGACUGGGAUAACUUCGGGAAACCGUAGCUAAUACCGGAUAAUAUUUUGAACCGCAUGGUUCAAAAGUGAAAGACGGUCUUGCUGUCACUUAUAGAUGGAUCCGCGCUGCAUUAGCUAGUUGGUAAGGUAACGGCUUACCAAGGCAACGAUGCAUAGCCGACCUGAGAGGGUGAUCGGCCACACUGGAACUGAGACACGGUCCAGACUCCUACGGGAGGCAGCAGUAGGGAAUCUUCCGCAAUGGGCGAAAGCCUGACGGAGCAACGCCGCGUGAGUGAUGAAGGUCUUCGGAUCGUAAAACUCUGUUAUUAGGGAAGAACAUAUGUGUAAGUAACUGUGCACAUCUUGACGGUACCUAAUCAGAAAGCCACGGCUAACUACGUGCCAGCAGCCGCGGUAAUACGUAGGUGGCAAGCGUUAUCCGGAAUUAUUGGGCGUAAAGCGCGCGUAGCGGUUUUUUAAGUCUGAUGUGAAAGCCCACGGCUCAACCGUGGAGGGUCAUUGGAAACUGGAAAACUUGAGUGCAGAAGAGGAAAGUGGAAUUCCAUGUGUAGCGGUGAAAUGCGCAGAGAUAUGGAGGAACACCAGUGGCGAAGGCGACUUUCUGGUCUGUAACUGACGCUGAUGUGCGAAAGCGUGGGGAUCAAACAGGAUUAGAUACCCUGGUAGUCCACGCCGUAAACGAUGAGUGCUAAGUGUUAGGGGGUUUCCGCCCCUUAGUGCUGCAGCUAACGCAUUAAGCACUCCGCCUGGGGAGUACGACCGCAAGGUUGAAACUCAAAGGAAUUGACGGGGACCCGCACAAGCGGUGGAGCAUGUGGUUUAAUUCGAAGCAACGCGAAGAACCUUACCAAAUCUUGACAUCCUUUGACAACUCUGGAGAUGGAGCCUUCCCCUUCGGGGGACAAAGUGACAGGUGGUGCAUGGUUGUCGUCAGCUCGUGUCGUGAGAUGUUGGGUUAAGUCCCGCAACGAGCGCAACCCUUAAGCUUAGUUGCCAUCAUUAAGUUGGGCACUCUAAGUUGACUGCCGGUGACAAACCGGAGGAAGGUGGGGAUGACGUCAAAUCAUCAUGCCCCUUAUGAUUUGGGCUACACACGUGCUACAAUGGACAAUACAAAGGGCAGCGAAACCGCGAGGUCAAGCAAAUCCCAUAAAGUUGUUCUCAGUUCGGAUUGUAGUCUGCAACUCGACUACAUGAAGCUGGAAUCGCUAGUAAUCGUAGAUCAGCAUGCUACGGUGAAUACGUUCCCGGGUCU